rnacentral:rRNA from 1 species
UACGUAGGUGGCAAGCGUUGUUCGGAAUUACUGGGCGUAAAGCGCGUGUAGGCGGCUCUUCAAGUCAGACGUGAAAGCCCCGGGCUUAACUCGGGAACUGCACUUGAUACUGCCUCGCUCGAGUACUGGAGAGGAGACUGGAAUUUACGGUGUAGCAGUGAAAUGCGUAGAUAUCGUAAGGAAGACCAGUGGCGAAGGCGAGUCUCUGGACAGUUACUGACGCUGAGGCACGAAGGCCAGGGGAGCAAACGGG